AAAGCUCUGUCCUCAAGGAAGAAUAAAUGACGGUACUUGAGGAGGAAGACCCCGGCUAACUACGUGCCAGCAGCCGCGGUAAUACGUAGGGGGCAAGCGUUAUCCGGAAUCACUGGGCGUAAAGGGGUGCGUAGGCGGGUUUUCAAGUCAGAAGUGAAAGGCUAUGGCUCAACCAUAGUAAGCUUUUGUAAACUAGUUAAACUUGAGUGCAGGAGAGGAAAGUGGAAUUCCUAGUGUAGAGGUGAAAUUCGUAGAUAUUUAGGAGGAACACCAGUGGCGAAGGCGACUUUCUGGACUGUAACUGACGCUGAGGCACGAAAGCGUGGGGAGCGAACAGGAUUAGAUACCCUGGUAG
rnacentral:rRNA from 1 species